ACUGCUUCCUGCUAACGCACAUCUGAGUAGUAGCAGGUGACGGCUCCAGGUACUUGGGUCCCCGACACUCAUCUGGGAAACUCAGAUGGACCUCCAGCUCCUGCCUUUGGUCUGGUGCAAUCCAGCUGUUUUGGGCACUUGAGAAGUGAAUUAGGGGAUGGGAGAUCUCUAUCUGUCUCACUGUCUCUCUCUCUCUGCCUUUCGUAUAAAAAAAAAAGGCCUCAUUUUCAAUUUGAACUGCAAACAACUCCACAUUAAAAAUGAAAAGGUUCAUAGCCCACAAGAGCUACAUCAGCCUGGUGCAAGCUGCGACCUCAAGCCUCCAUAGUCAUUCUUUCUCUGAAUGGGCAGGCCCUGACUAUUACCUUGCUCUGCCCACUUAAUUUUUGCAAAGAAAAUUUCACAUGUAGCAGCCAGUUCCCUGAAGUGAAGAUUUCCUUAUGACUUUCACAGUGCCAGUUAAGUAAGAUAUCCACAUAUCUUUGUUAACAGCCACUUAACAACUUUGCAUCAUUUAAAAUGCCAGGCCAAUGAGCUGACGGUGGCCCUAGAAGGUGGCCCUAGAAGAUAACAGCAUUCAGGCGGGGGCCAGAAAUUGAUACUUCCAGUCAUUCUUGGUGGUUUGCCUGCACCGACUUUGUGAGCCAGCUCAUGAUCUCAGGAUGUAUGAAAAAAUAACAAUUGCACUACUAUUGUUCGGUUUCAUUACUACAGCACCUGCCAACUUCACAGCUUCAACAUUAAAUAAUGAAAAACAAGACAUUACUUCUGAACAUACGGUUUUAGCAACAAAAUCAAGUUCUGUUUCUACAUCGACUGCCAAACUCUGGUCUUCAACCUUAAGUAAUGGAAAAACUGACCCAACAAAAUCAAGUUCUGUUUCUACAUCGACUGCCAAACUCUGGUCUUCAACCUUAAGUAGUGGAAAAACUGACCCAACAAAACCAAGUGUUGUUUCCACACAGCUCAGAACACCUGUCAAAGCUCUCAACGAAACAGAACGUGGAAAUGGCAAUGGUUCUGUAGAAAAGCCAGAUGUUGUUUCCACACAGCUCAGAACACCUGUCAAAGCUCUCAACGAAACAGAACGUGGAAAUGGCAAUGGUUCUGUAGAAAAGCCAGAAACAAGACAACAAUAUAAUCAUGCUUUGUCAGAACCAGGUAUGCUAAUAUUUAUUAUGGAAUUAUGA
rnacentral:lncRNA from 1 species